GAUGAACGCUGGCGGCGUGCUUAACACAUGCAAGUCGAACGAAGCACUUUGGACGGAUUCUUCGGAUGAAAUUCUUAGUGACUGAGUGGCGGACGGGUGAGUAACGCGUGGGUAACCUGCCUCAUACAGGGGGAUAACAGUUAGAAAUGGCUGCUAAUACCGCAUAAGCGCACGGUACUGCAUGGUACAGUGUGAAAAACUCCGGUGGUAUGAGAUGGACCCGCGUUGGAUUAGCUAGUUGGCAGGGUAACGGCCUACCAAGGCGACGAUCCAUAGCCGGCCUGAGAGGGUGGACGGCCACAUUGGGACUGAGACACGGCCCAGACUCCUACGGGAGGCAGCAGUGGGGAAUAUUGCACAAUGGGGGAAACCCUGAUGCAGCGACGCCGCGUGAGCGAAGAAGUAUUUCGGUAUGUAAAGCUCUAUCAGCAGGGAAGAAAAUGACGG
rnacentral:rRNA from 1 species